rnacentral:rRNA from 1 species
CCUACGGGCGGCUGCGGUGGGGAAUAUUGGACAAUGGGGGGAACCCUGAUCCAGCCAUGCCGCGUGUGUGAAGAAGGCCCUCGGGUUGUAAAGCACUUUCAGUGAGGAAGAACGCCUGGUGGUUAAUACCCAUCAGGAAAGACAUCACUCACAGAAGAAGCACCGGCUAACUCCGUGCCAGCAGCCGCGGUAAUACGGAGGGUGCGAGCGUUAAUCGGAAUUACUGGGCGUAAAGCGCGCGUAGGUGGCUGGAUAAGCCGGUUGUGAAAGCCCCGGGCUCAACCUGGGAACGGCAUCCGGAACUGUCAAGCUAGAGUGCAGGAGAGGAAGGUAGAAUUCCCGGUGUAGCGGUGAAAUGCGUAGAGAUCGGGAGGAAUACCAGUGGCGAAGGCGGCCUUCUGGACUGACACUGACACUGAGGUGCGAAAGCGUGGGUAGCAAACAGGAUUAGAUACCCCGGUAGUC